GAGAUAUGAGGACAAAUCCUAACAGUCUGAUGUUUCUGAUGACCGUCAGAUCCAACUCUGAUCUCUAUCUUAUU